UCUCAGUCAAAAAAAUGAAUAAAAUAUAUUUUUAAAAAAUCUGUGGUACAUUUAGACCAUGAAAUACUAUGCAGCAGUAAUAACGAAGAAUCUCUUACCUUUGAGAUAACAUGGAGGGACCUGGAGAGUAUCAUGAUAAAUGAAAUAAGUC